rnacentral:rRNA from 1 species
AGAAUCAACGCUGGCGGCGUGCCUCAGACAUGCAAGUCGAACGCGAAAGUCCCCUUCGGGGGACAAGUAGAGUGGCGCACGGGUGAGUAACACGUAGGUAAUCUACCUUCGGAUGGGGAAUAACAACCGGAAACGGUUGAACUAAUACCGCAUAAUGCAGCGGCACCUAAUGGUGACAGUUGUUAAAGCGGGGGAUCGAAAGACCUCGCGUCUGAAGAGGAGCCUGCGGCGGAUUAGCUAGUUGGUAGGGUAACGGCCUACCAAGGCGACGAUCCGUA